GAAGUCUUGGGGCUUGCUCCAAGGCUUAGUGGCGCACGGGUGAGUAACGCGUGGGAACCUGCCCUGGGAUGGGGGACAACCGCUGGAAACGGCGGCUAAUACCGCAUACGUCCUUCGGGAGAAAGGCUUCGGCCGUCCUAGGAUGGUCCCGCGUCCGAUUAGCUAGUUGGUGGGGUAACGGCCUACCAAGGCGACGAUCGGUAGCUGGUCUGAGAGGAUGAUCAGCCACACUGGGACUGAGACACGGCCCAGACUCCUACGGGAGGCAGCAGUGGGGAAUAUUGGACAAUGGGCGAAAGCCUGAUCCAGCAAUGCCGCGUGAGUGAAGAAGGCCUUAGGGUUGUAAAGCUCUUUCACCCGUGAAGAUGAUGACGGUAGCGGGAGAAGAAGCCCCGGCUAACUCCGUGCCAGCAGCCGCGGUAAUACGGAGGGGGCUAGCGUUGUUCGGAAUUACUGGGCGUAAAGCGCACGUAGGCGGCGCGUCAAGUCAGGGGUGAAAGGCCUGGGCUCAACCUGGGAACUGCCUUUGAUACUGGCGUGCUGGAGUACGGGAGAGGGUGACGGAAUUCCCAGUGUAGAGGUGAAAUUCGUAGAUAUUGGGAAGAACACCGGUGG
rnacentral:rRNA from 1 species